CCUACGGGAGGCAGCAGUGAGGAAUAUUGGACAAUGGUCGAAAGACUGAUCCAGCCAUGCCGCGUGCAGGAUGACUGCCCUAUGGGUUGUAAACUGCUUUUAUACGGGAAGAAAAACACCUACGUGUAGGUGACUGACGGUACCGUAAGAAUAAGGACCGGCUAACUCCGUGCCAGCAGCCGCGGUAAUACGGAGGGUCCAAGCGUUAUCCGGAAUCAUUGGGUUUAAAGGGUCCGUAGGCGGACUAUUAAGUCAGAGGUGAAAGUUUGCAGCUCAACUGUAAAAUUGCCUUUGAUACUGAUAGUCUUGAAUUGUAGUGAAGUGGUUAGAAUAUGUGGUGUAGCGGUGAAAUGCAUAGAUAUCACAUAGAAUACCGAUUGCGAAGGCAGAUCACUAACUAUAUAUUGACGCUGAGGGACGAAAGCGUGGGUAGCGAACGGGAUUAGAUACCCCGGUAGUCCACGCCGUAAACGAUGGAUACUAGCUGUUGGAUUUUUUCAGUGGCUAAGCGAAAGUGAUAAGUAUCCCACCUGGGGAGUACGUUCGCAAGAAUGAAACUCAAAGGAAUUGACGG
rnacentral:rRNA from 1 species